AGCUUGAAGAAUAUAUUUUAAGUAAGUUCUGCCCAGCGUAAAAAAAUUAGCGGCCGCAGUACCUUGACUGUGCUAAGGUAGCAUAAUCAAUUGGCUUUUAAUUGAAGUCUGGAAUGAAAGGUAUAAUAAAGAAUUUUCUGUCUCUUUUGGAUUUUAUUGAACUUAUUUAUUAAGUGAAAAUACUUUAACUUAGAAAAAAGACGAGAAGACCCUAAGAAUUUUUAAUAAUAAUUUAUAUAAGAUUUAUUUUUUUGUUGGGGCGACAUUUAAACAUUUAAACUUUAUUUUUAUACAUGACAUUAAAGUUUGUAAGAUUAAAUUACCUUAGGGAUAACAGCAUAAUAAUUAAAAUAGCUUAUGACCUCGAUGUUGGACUAGGAACUAAAAGACUAACCGUCAAAAUAGAUUGUUCUGUUCGAACAUAAUACUCCU
rnacentral:rRNA from 1 species